CCUACGGGUGGCAGCAGUGGGGAAUAUUGUACAAUGGGCGCAAGCCUGAUGCAGCCAUGCCGCGUGUGUGAAGAAGGCCUUCGGGUUGUAAAGCACUUUCAGCGGGGAGGAAGGCGUUAAGGUUAAUAACCUUGUCGAUUGACGUUACCCGCAGAAGAAGCACCGGCUAACUCCGUGCCAGCAGCCGCGGUAAUACGGAGGGUGCAAGCGUUAAUCGGAAUUACUGGGCGUAAAGCGCACGCAGGCGGUCUGUCAAGUCGGAUGUGAAAUCCCCGGGCUCAACCUGGGAACUGCAUUCGAAACUGGCAGGCUAGAGUCUUGUAGAGGGGGGUAGAAUUCCAGGUGGAGCGGUGAAAUGCGUAGAGAUCUGGAGGAAUACCGGUGGCGAAGGCGGCCCCCUGGACAAAGACUGACGCUCAGGUGCGAAAGCGUGGGGAGCAAACAGGAUUAGAUACCCGAGUAGUC
rnacentral:rRNA from 1 species